AGACCCAUCAAGCCUGGCUUGGUAUUGGGCGUCGGGCUCACCGCCCGCGCCUCCAUUCUGUCGGCUGUACGGUUAGAAUCUCAGCGUUGUGAAUCAAUUCGCUAGGGAAGACCGCCGGACGCGCCGUUAAACCCCCAUCAAA
rnacentral:misc_RNA from 2 species